UCCUUCUCUCAGGUCAUAUUCUCUUCCGCUGCUGUCAUUUAUUUUAUGUAAAUUCUAAAUUUAAAGCUGUUUUAUAAAUAUUUAUGUUAUUAUCUAUUUUUGUGAAAAUAUAUUAUGCUGGUACCGUAUGUGUUCACCGUCGCGUGAGACUUCUGGUGUGUUUCGAUCGGCCUGUGGGUUGGAAACAGGCUGUCAGGUUACACUUAAUUAAGCUAAUGCGCCUGAUGUGUUCAAAUGAUGACCAUUACAUUUAAUUAAGCUGUUUAACUUGGCAGUUCUGUCACAUAAUCCAUGCCAUAUCAUCAUCAGCGCCACCUUAUAGUACGUUGUGAUGUCUAUAGUUGAAGUCAACAAGAAGAACGGUUUCUCAUCAUUGUCAUCACCACUACCAUGAAGCCGAACGAUGCCUCGCCAACGUGCUAUCUCCAACCGAUUACUAAUCCCUCUCUCCAAUUGAGCUUCAUAUAGGGUGGUCUGAUCCUUUUUUUGCUUCGCUUGAGCUUCUCAGGACUCAACUUGCUGUUUCUUUCUUCAUGGAAGUCAUCAUCUGGAUGCAGCGCUAUGACUUUAUCUUCAAAGGGAUCUUCGUGAUUGAGUCGUGGACGGAGAGAGUUGGUCCGACUCGCAUACGGGAUGGACUAAGGCCCACCUGUCAAUGACACAGACGGACCAAAUCAACGUACCAAACCAAAAAUUUUACUCGCUUUAGUAAUAGAUAUAGAUAUAGAUAUAUUUUUAAUUUAUCUAGCUAUUUUUGCUGAUUUGAUCCUCUUUCAUUUUCGUCUUCCGCAUUGAAUGUUUUUUUAAUCUAAAAAUUUCUAGCUUGUGUCCACCCCAUAUUAUCUUGUCCCGUUCUGGCUAAUGUUGUUUGUUUGGCUAAUUGGUCGUUGGAGUUUGGUGAAAUAUUUGUUUGGACCAUUUCCACUAAUAAAACAUUUGUUUGUCGUGAGACAUUUUUCAAUCAUUUCAGUUUGAUACAUGUUGCCAAAGGGUGCUUAGCCUAGCAGUUAAGACACUCGAGCGGCACUCCACAGGUCCUGAGUUCGAAUCCCCGUGGUAGCGAAUUUCAGGCUGUGGUUAAAAAAAUUCUCUCGCCGGUCCCGUGUGACACUGUUCUUAUGUCUUCAUAUGAUGUGCAUCCUUUGACAGUGUUCAGCAGCAUCCGGAGGUAGUACCUUUCUCCACUUGUUGGAUGUGCAUAGUAGAUCCUUCCGAUUGCAUAUCCUUGUUUUCUUUUCUCCCAUUUCUUUUCUUUUGCUUUCCAUACCCAUUUAGUAGGGAAAUCUGCAUAUGUCAACUCUCUUGCUUCUUCAUGUUGUUUAUUUGCCUCCAUCCAUUCAGUGAACUUAGUUUCCUUCACUCCCUCCCUUCUGACUAUGCUUCUUAUAUCAGUAGAGUCUGGGAAGAUAACCUGUUGUUCAUUCUCUAGAUGGAAAUUCAGCCUCUCGACGGGUGGAUCUCGAUAGUUGAGUUCAAACUGGAAUAGCCUCCAGCAUGCCUCGGUUGUUGAUAUGUAUCUCAUCUCUAAGUAUUUCUUGAUCUCGUCAGUUUCGUUUUUUGACGUCUUUUCCUUGAGCAAUCCAACUACAUAGUCAACUCCUUUAUGAAUGUACUUGAAUAGGUAUUUGAUAGAUCUGGACCUAUUGCACCACUCCACAUUAAUGUGAGCUUGGAAUUUGACCAGGAGAUCCCUGUUGUAAGGUACGACAAAUCUGUUGUCUAGUGUAGCUUUUCCCUUUUUGAUUUGUCUCCCGUUGUCUCUCCUCUUGUAUACUGGAAAUCCAUCUUCAUCAAUUGUUGUUUCUGAGUUGAAUUUUUUUGGAAAAUGUUUGCUGCAUUUGUUUUCCACCAUGCAUGGAGAUUUUGUGUUUGCCUCUCCACAUGGUCCAUGCAUCAUGUAAUUUUUGACUGCUUCAUAUGCUUCAGGGUCCUCAUCCUUGUCUGGUAUUUCAGCGCAUAUUAUAUCAUCUAUCUGCGAUGGAUCAUGGCAUUUGCUUUUGUCCUUAAGAAAUAUCAAUAUAUGUGCAUGCGGGAGACCUCUUUUUUAGAACUCUAUUGCGUAUAGCACUGCAUUUGAAUUUAAAAAUUUGUUAGUUUUUUUAACAUUGUAUUGUAUUGAUAAUUUAAAACGUAGUAAUAUAUCAAUGUUGUUUUUUGGAUCUCACCUGAUGUAGUUUCUCUGAAUCUUUUUCCUUGCACUAUGUCCCGUAGUAGCUCCUUUAGUUUAAUCAUGAACACUCGGUCUACAAUAUCGGACCGUUCAGCUGGUUUCUGUUUGCUUCCUGUUUCAUCCAGCAUGUACUGGAUUUCUGGCCACUUUGCGUUGCAUGUGAAUGUUAUAAAUAGGUUUGGGUAUCCUGCCCAAUGGCAGAUGGCCAUCGCAUCUUGGAAGUUUUGCAUCUUGUUUCUUAUACUCCCUGUGAAACUUGAAGGUAGCAGUAUCCUCUUUCCAACAUAUUCUGCUCUGGUGUCACCCCUUUCGAUUGCGUCCUGCAAACCGCUGUAUAGUUCAGUACGUAAUUUCCCUUGAUUGUGCCUUAUCCAGUUUAGAGUGUUCUGCUUGAUGCAUGUGUAAACAUCAACCCAAAAUUGUAGAGAUAAGUGUCCAGACAUCAGCAAUGACAUAGAUUGGUCAGGGCGAUGGUGAAUGUAGUAUGCGUAAAAUUCAAGCAUAGAUAUGUUGUUCCUUUUUUAUGUAAUUCCAUCCUUUUGUUGAUAUGGUAUUUUAAUGUUGAAUCCAUCUUCUCCGUAUGGGAAGAGCAGUGGGUAUUGCAUAGACAUGAAUUUUGGGUGGAUUUCUGAUAUCCGUUUAGGCCCCAUAUCUUUGUACUCAAUAAUUAUGUCACGCCCUUUGGCUUCAUCUGUUGGAUCUUUUAUGACCAGUGCUGCAACCUCAUCUGCUCCUGGCAAACCGUGUGUUCCGUUUCUGUUUCGAUCUGCUAUUAGCUUAAGAGUGUAAUCAUGGUAGUCUUUCACAUCUGAAUUUUGGUUUUCCGAAGUUCCAUAUAUUACUUUCAGCAUCACCCCUUUUCUCUGUUUCGCCAUAUUCUUUGCUACUGUUCUCUUGAUUUGCAUCUUCAUUGCCUGUUCUUGUACGCUUUGGUUUCCUUUUUUCUUUAAGUAUUUCUUUUCUCUUCAGUCUUGCCAGUCUAUAUUUCAUCUUGGUCGUUUCCUCUACAGUGCAUACUCCUUUUUUUUGCCCCUUUUAAGGUUUAGUUGUUCCUUCCUCCUCUUUCUGUUCUGCAAUGCUUCUUCUUUUCUAUGGUUUUCCAUUAGUUUUUGCCUGUGUGAGAUGAAAAAUUAAGGCAACAGGAAAGACACCAUGUAAAUAUUUGCUUGUUAUAGACUUGUAGCAGUUGCCGCUAAGGUAUUGUUAUUAUAUUUUUUAAUAGAGUAUUUCAAUAGAUUGUAAGCAAUGCGCAGUAGCAGCCAUGAAAGAUAAGUUAAUUUUGAGGUAUUUUUAAAUUUAUAUCCAGUAAUUUUAUUAUUUCGACUAACAUAAUUAUGUAUGAUAUGUAUAUGAAGUAUACUACAGGCAUGAAAGAGAAGAGGUUGGCAUGAACUUGCCGGAAGUAUACUCCAGUUUAGUUUUUUGUCUCCCACGAACUGUUGUGGUUCCCGAUGCUUUGUUUAAUGAAUUGUAAUGCUACAAAUCAAUAUACUUGCGUAAGCAGUCAAUAGAGAAUAUAGUUCUUGAUUUUUGGAGCAGAAGAGCAACGAUGGAAAAUACCUGUCUUUUGUCGAAUGUUGAUGGUUGAAUCUAUUUUUUGAGAAGGGCUACGGAAUUAGAUUAGUAUAUGUAAAUAUUGGGAGAAAGCUGCAAUGAGAUUUGAGUUAUAUA